GAACGCACCUUGCGCCCCUUGGCUAUUCCGAGGGGCAUGCCUGUUUGAGUAUCAUGAACACCUCAACUCUCAUGGUUUGCCGUGAUGAGCUUGGACUUUUGGGGGUUUUGCUGGCCUACAGUCGGCUCCUCUGAAACAGAUCAGCUUGCCAGUAUUUGGUGGCGUCACAGUUGUGAUAACUAUCUAAGCUUGUGAUUGUUUGCCAAGUAACCUUUGGAGAUGGAGGUUUGCUGGAGCUUACAAAUGUCUCUCCUCAGCGAAGACAGCUUUUUGACCGUUCGAUCUCAAAUCAGGUAGGACUACCCGCUGAACUUA
rnacentral:misc_RNA from 1 species